GGGGGAAAAGGUGAAGAACAUAUAUUCAUCGUCAAAGAUUACUUACACACAAUGAAGGGGUUUUCCUAAAGACAAUGUUUCUGGUUCUCCUCUUGCAGGGAAAAGAACAUAACAGGAAAUGCUGAGACUCCCUUCUUGCUUGCUAGAGUAAGUGAACUCACUGGAGGGGCCUCACUUGCCUCAAAUAUAGCACUUGUGAAGAAUAAUGCUCUUUUGGAGCUAAAGUUGCUGUGGCCCUCGCCCACCUCAGACAACAUUCUCAGUGAAUAGUGAUGAUCUCAUUCGUUGACUCUUGUCUUUGUAAACUACUCAUCUUACCUUUACAUAAUAGUUUUUUUUUUUGGUUCUUUUCUAAGAUGAUGAUAGACAAAUUGUUAAUUUCUCUUCUCUU